rnacentral:lncRNA from 1 species
CACAAACUUCGAUGCAACAGAUACAAUUUCGUAGAGAAGCAACGCUGUAAAAAUGGAGAACCCUACUGAAACUCCAGAAGUAGUUAGACACGGCGAGCAAGAGAGGAGCUGGAAAAGCUUAUCAUAGAGGUUCCACCGGGCCCAAAUGAGGGCCGCAUCCGUUACGAAUACAUCCAAUGAUAGUCCUACAGAAGAAUUCACAUAUGCAGGUAGAAGACUAAAGAAAGAAUGAGGAUCAUUUGAUGCAGUCGAUGCACCGAGGGCGAGAGGCUUCCAGCAAGAGAAUGGGAGGACGCUCCAGAGUCGGACGAGCCAGGAACAGCGCCACCGGCCUCCCCAGGUCCUGGCGAAGGCGACGGAGCAAGGUAUGAGCCAUGGAUUGCUGCAGUGGACGGCUCCAUCAGUGGAGGAAAUUGAUGCGGUCCUGUGAGGGGAGAAGCAAUAUACAGAUAAGAAACAGGAGAUGGUGCAGCACAAGCAGGAAACUGAAAAGAAAACGUGCAGCGGUUCUAAGAGCAUCUCUAGUAGAGCCCUCAAACCCUUAAAAAUAACCGCUUUUUUACAGUUUUCAUCGGAAAAACGGCGUAGACUAGAACAAACCCUUAAACCCGUAAAAAAAAUUAGAGGUCCAACCCUCAAACCCCUUCCCAGCCUGUAGAAGUGAGGGUUGGGAGGGAAAACUGCCCCCAACCCGCACUCCACUUCCCACCUCGCGCAGGAGGCAGUUGGUUCCCGGCGCGCGCGAGGAAGUCGCCUCGGCCGCCGCCGCCCCGCCUCCCCCCGCGCUCCCUCCGCGCCCCGGCCGCCGCCCUC